AGAAAUCUCUGUUUUCAUCAUGGAACCCCUGGAAUUAAAGAUGGAAGCAUUGUGAUUUUGACAUUGUUGGAUGCUGCACCUAGGUGGAAGAAGAGGAAGAGCCUUGGGGGCUACCAUUCUGGCUGGAGAAGCGGCACGAGGCUCCCUCUUGUGGAUUCAGCAAGUCUAAGGGCCAAGGGAAGAGAAGAGUGACAUAGAAUCUCCUUUCCUUGAGAUCUUAGAAUCACGCCUGCCUCCUUACCUCCAUCCAGGACUGUUGAAAAACUCCCAAAGCAGGGACUUUUAGGCCCACAUGCACUUAGCCUCCUCUUCCCACCUCCUGUUCAUCUCCGUGUCCAAUGUUCCACUGCCAUCGCUGCCAGGAAGUUCUGCAGAGAAGAGUGAAGAAGAACCGUGUGAUCCUAAACAUGUUCUCUGAAGAUAUUAUCAACCCACCAUUGGCCUUAUUUACUGGAAUGUUUUUAUAACCUUCAUUUGACACCUCUUCCCAUCAUUUAAAAUAAAUCUGGUGCUUCCCUGAAUAAUCUCUUGAGAUUUGUACAUGUCUCCCAGCAUCACGUUUGCCCUUUUAACAAGCACACUCCUUCCACUGCUCACGGCCACCUCAGGUUCACUGCAGUCAGGGAAUC
rnacentral:lncRNA from 1 species